rnacentral:rRNA from 1 species
AAAAGUGAUGUAUCUACAAGUAUUAGUGAUUAAUAUAAGAUUAACUUAGUUAAUUAAAAUUCUAUGUAAAUAUCUGAUUAUGACAGUAUUUGCUUAUGUCUUGACCAAAUCACGUGCCAGCAGUCGCGGUAAGACGUGGAAGAUAAGUGUUAUUCAUGUUUAACAGGUUUAAAGGGUACCUAGACGGCUAAUUAAACACUUUAAUGUAUUAAUUAACUAGAGUUUGAUAUAAGAAGGUUUGAGUACGGUGAGUGUAGAGAUAAAAUUCUAUUAGACCAUUAUGGAACUGGUAAAGGCGAAGGCAACCUUCUAUGUAAAAACUGACGUUAAGGGACGAAGGCUCGUUAAAAAAAACAGGAUUAGAUACCCUGGUAUUCUGGGCAGACAAUGAUGAGUGUCAUAUGCAAGAAAAAUUUUUGUGUAUAAACGAAAGUGUAAGCACUCCACCUCAAGAGUAACAUGGCAACAUGGGAACUGAAAUCAUUAGACCGUUUCUGAAACUCGUAGUGAAGUAUGUUGUUUAAUUUGAUAAUCCACAAAUAACCUUACCACAACUUGAAUUACUUUAGUUAGCUGAAGUAACAAGCGUUGCACGGCUGUCUCCAGUCAAUGUUGUGAAACCGUGGUUUGAUCCAUUGAAUUGACGUAAACCCUCACUCCACUUACUGUGGAGUGGUUCGCCGCUA